UGAAAUGCGAAAAGUAAUGCGAUUUGCAUGAAUCUGUGAGUCAUCAAGUCUUUGAACGCACCUUGCACCGUAUGGGUUAAUCGUACGGUAUACCUGUUUGAGAAUCGUAAAACUCUCUUUCCAUCUGUUGAUGGGAGACUUGUCGGUUGUACCCCUUGGGGUACUCUGAUUAAAUGCAGUAGGUCUGGAUCAGGCUAGUGGCCUGGGACACUGUGUGUUAGAGACAUCGCGUUAGUUGACUGUCUUCUCAUAGUGCGUCCCAGGCUAUACAAGCUGGUUUGGUCAAGCCUCUACAGUCGGUAUACACUUGUGUGUGCCGACAACCCCCCUUUUUGAUCUCAAAUCAGGUAAGGCUACCCGCUGAACUUAA
rnacentral:misc_RNA from 1 species